rfam:Dipodomys ordii contig_23587, whole genome shotgun sequence.
GGUGGCUCAGUGGUAGAGCGCUUGCCUUGCAUGCCUUAGGCCCUGGGUUCGAUUCCCCAGCACCA